UUUAAAAUGCUACUAUUUGAAAGAAACAAAUUUCAACAUUUUAACAAUUUAAAUUGCUAAAAUUUGUCAACCUGGAAACUUUCUUGACACUUGUUUUAUUCUAAAUUCUUGUGGGAGGUAUGCAAAGGGAAAAAAAACCUUUAAAAACAAUGAUUUAGCUGAACAUUACCAUUAAAAUAUUAGUCUAUACUAGAAGUUAACAAUGAUAAUAUCCCCUCAGUUUCAGACAUUAGAUAAUUCCUUGUAUCUUGUAAGUGGAGGAGAGGGAGAGAGAGAGAAAAUGACAGAAGAAUUGUUUCAGGUAUGAUGUAAAACCAAGAGUUAUCUGACUGAAAUAGGUUUAAUUACUGGUAUUCCUGAAUGCGGUUGACAAUAAUUCUGUAUUAUGUCUCCUAUAAGAGGAGAAUUGCUACCGAAUGGAUCAUGUGUUUCAAGAUAGUCUUCUAUGUCAAAGUGAGGGUUUUUUUGUUGUCGUCAUUAAGUGUAAUUGCUUUAUUAUAAUUCCUACCAUUGCUGCUACUACUACUAUUACAUAGAUGUUACAUAGGUGAAUCAUGUUCAGGGCACAGUAAAUUUGACCAGUUUUUCAUUGGUCAUCAUAGGCUGUUGUCCACUGGCCAAAUUUGUGAGGCCAUAUGUGAUUUUAAUAUCUUUUCUGGACUGAAAACUAUUAUAACAUCUGCAACGAAUAUUAUUUUAUGUUUAAAAAUCUUAUUUUCAUUGAUGCUUCCAAAUAGUUCCAGUUACCAAAUUGCUAUUUUCAUAACAUCUCUGCCUUAAGAGGAAAACCUUCUCAAUUGAAGUUCUCUUUUCUUCUAAUUGGGAAGAAAAAACUUUUUCAAUAAAUAAAAAUCACACAGAUGCAUACACAUAUUGCAUUUUAGAAUGAAGACAUAAUGAACUAGCAUUAUGCACUUAGGGAACAUGGAGAAAAUAAAUGAUUAAAAAUAAUCCCAUUAUCCAAAUGCCAUGAUCAACAUUGAUGUACUCUAUGAGGGGGAAGGAAACCAGAAAAAAAUUCAAUUGAAAAGUUAAUGUUUUAAUAAAAGCUAGAACAUUUUGUUAUACUUUGCCCCAAUGAUGUUUACUCAAAAGCUUUUCCAUGAUGACAAUUUGUUUCAUAUUUUUCAUAAUAGAAAUAUUAAAAUAAGAGAGUAUCUGUGAUAUUGGACUUUUAAUGUUUCCUUUGUCCUAUUCUUAUGUGCUAUUAAUUUUUUCUAAUGUGUAUAUUAUUCUGGACUACACCUUAUUUGUACUACCUACUUAUAUCUAAUGUGUGGGCAUAUCUCUGACUGUAUUUUGUCUGUUUUGUUAUCUCUCUGAUCAUACAAAUGGACUGUGUUUUCCAGCUUCCUUUUUAGUAAUGUGUGGCCACGUCACUUACAUUCAGAAUAUUAAAUACGAAGCAUCCUGCUCCCCUUCCUGGACUACACACUAAACACUCUCCAAUGUGCAGACCAUGCUUUUCCCAUCAGUUGGCUGAAUGGAGAGGAACAGAGAUUUGAAGUUAAAUGUGCGAGACGCAGAAAUAGAACAUUGUGUAAUGGAACAGAUGCUGUAGCAAUGACUCAAGGUCCUUAUAGGAAAUAAGAAGAUAAAAGAACAAGGCCAACAUCACCAUGAGGAAACAAUUAUACAAAUAUAGAAUAUGGGACAUUCUAGACGACAAACCAGACUGAAAUUGUCAGUAUCAUUAAAAAUAAAUGAGACUCUUCCAUAUCAGGACAAGACUAUAAAAGAAUAAAGGAAUUGUAAACUUUCCUGGGAAGAUAAACUGGAACCAGAGGAAGACACUGGGCAAGAAGAACAAUAAAAAUGUUUAGAUUGGAGGUAAAAAUGCAAAUCUAUUUAUCAGAAAGGUCAUGUCUACAGUCAACAACUGCUCAAAUAGAAGCUAUCAAGCAAAGCUCAGCAAACUUUUCUGUGAAGAGCCAGACAGCAAAAAUCUCCGGCUUUGUGGUCCAUAUGGUCGGCACUGUAACUACUCAAGUCUGCCAUCGUAGCAUGAAAACAACCAUGGACCAUAUGCAAUUGAAUGGGUGUGGCUGUGUUCCAAAAACCUUAUUUACAAAAACAAGGGAAGCAUUAGACUUGCCCUUUAGACCUUCAUUGGCUGAUUUUUGCUUUACAUAAUUAAGACACUUUAGGGUCAUCCUCCAUGAAAUAGCAGAUUGCCUGACUUCUACUUUAAAUAAGCCCUGACUCAGAGUGGAAAUCAGUCAGCUCUGUUGAAGGAACUCCUGAGCAGAAAAGGAAAAAUCCCAGGACAUUAGAACACAUUGAGUAUUUAAAGAUUCGUUCAAAGGAGAACCUUCAGUAAGCAUUAGAGUAAGCAAUUUUAUACAUAUAUAUAUAUAAUUUAUGUGUAUAUAUAUAUAAUUUAUAUAUACUUAAAGAGCUGAGUCAACUCAGGCUGUAGAAAUUGAAUGUGUCAUUUUACAGAGCCUCAACAUAACAAAAAUGAAAUUUCACUAAUCCACCUUGCCAGCUUAUACAACUUUUGAGAGAGAAAGGCUCUCAGUAAUAAUAUUAAUUAUUAUUAAAUGUUACCAGCUCCUGUUGUAGAGAAUAUGAGCAGCAAUAUUUAUAGUCUCUUGGUAAAAUGUAUUUUAACUUUUUUAGGACAUUGUAGAUUUGACUAUCAUUUUCUAACACAACAUGUUGUAAAAUUGCCAUUUAAUAUUUUUGAGAGCUAGCUAGAGCAAGCUAUUCUUUCUUAAGUGGCACAUGUUCAUUUUCUGUCUUUUCCUCAUCUUUACCACCUGCUAGCAGUGUUUCGGGCAACAAAACAGCAGUGUUCUCAGCAGAGGGUAUAGCCUCCUCCAAAAUGGUAGCAAUUCAGAUGGUUCAUAAUAAAACAAAACCUUUAAGACCGUGAUAAAUGUUUUUUAUUUCUUUUUCUUUUAAAUUCUUCCUUUCCACUUUAAUCUUUAAACACUGGGUUGAAAAGGAUGAUAAAAAAUCCUAUUUGGGGUGUCUGUGUGUACACAUAGGAGUAAAACUGAAAACAAAAAGAGUUCAUUUGACUAAAUAUAUCACAGUCUGUCUUUUUUAUUCAGUUAUUUUUAAUGAUAUAUAUGUAGAAGUAGUCAUCUGCUAUCUAGAAAGCAACUAUUUUUUCCAUUAUUUUAUGUUGACUGCUUACUAAUUAUUUUUUCCUAUGGGAACAAAUGUUCUUUCUUUCCAGAUAGAAAGUGAUGCCCCAAAUUAAUUAUGUCUCUGUCAUUUAACCAAAACCCUUAUGCCAGUUAUAAGAAAUUUUGGUGCUAUAUAAAAAAUUUGAAGGGGUGAAAACAAUAAAUACUAAAUAAUGGUUCUGUUUAAGCAACAUUUUGAAUAGUGAAUGACUCUGCUUAAACAGUAUAUUUAGAAUGCACUAUUGGUAGAAAAAUAUCUUUAUGAUUUUCUAAAUUGUUUAUAUCUUAUGGGUAUUAUAUAUCUUGCACUUCAAAGGAAGUUAAAACUUCUCAUUAAGAGGAAAAGGAACUGUUCUAAUCAAAACACAAAAUAAGGUAUUUUGAAUUGUUUUCUAUAGUAGUAAGAGAAUAAAUGAAAUUAAUGAUCAGUUUAUAAGAACUAAACAGUUAUGAAUGCCCAUUUAUCUUCAAGGAAAUAAAUAUGAUGACAUAUUGGACUAAGUAGGAUGUUUUCACUUACAGUAUAAAAAUAAAACUGUGUGGGUACAUUUUAUUAUUUUAUAGCAGUUUUACCAGAAUUAAGUGAAGACUUGAAAGGCUAAAAGUAUUUUUUUAAUUACAUUAUAGUGCUUUAGUAUUUUUGAGAUAAAGAACAGUCAAAAAAAUGAUAAUUAUAAGGGCAACACUAUAAAGUGUGCUCAUAUUCAUUUGUAAGUUAUCACACUGACUUGCUAAACAUAAGAAGAAAUUACAAAACAGGUGAUAUAAUUCUACCUACUAAAAGUUAAAUUUAAUUGAAUAAAUUUAUUUAAGCACUUACUUUUGAAAGAUAUUGUGUUAAGUGAUAGGCUUAUAAAAGUAAAUAAUCCAUCAUCAUCUUCAAGAAAUGUACAGUCUCUUAGGAAGAUACACAAGUUAAUAGAUCAACUAUUUCAUUACAGUGUGAUAAAUUUUCUAAAAGAAAGAACAAAAUAUCCUACAAGUUCACAAAAGAGAUUGCCCAAACUCAACAUAUAUUAGGAGUAAAACACUUUGGGAAAAGUUUCCUAAAGAAAGUCAACUGGAUAAAAUAUUAAAGCUUUUGUAGUUAGAAUGAUUCUCCUGCAGAGAGAAAUAAUAAAAUAGAAGAGAAAAAAUAAAUUUGAAAGCAAUGUAGAAUGAUGAAAGCUAACAGAAGCUGGAGGGGAGUCUGCUCUUAAACAGAAACUGGAGCAACUGAGAUUUUUUGAGUUGGCAGAUUUUUGUCUGAGGGUACCCUUUGAUUGGGCACUGCUCCUACAGUAGAAAAUCAUGGCCUUGUUAGCUCUAUGUGUCAGAGGACAAAGUUUAGUACUGGGAAAACAUGUGGAAAUUUAGAGAUGAAAAUCUGGAAAAGAGGAAUUUGCAUAAGAGAUGAAAACAAAAAAAUGCGUAAAAAACUGCACACUGAAUUUUUGUGUGUAAAACACUGAAUUUUUAAUGUAUAAAAAAGAAAAAGAGUAUAGGGUCCUGACAAAAGUAUAGCAACUCAAAUCUGAAAGAUGUGAGUGGAGAGUUUAGUGGCUGCCCACAAAUGGGAAAGGCAAGACAUCAUUUGUUAUAAGAAAAUCCAGUAUCUCUAAGAUGUAUAAUUUAUUAUGUCCAUUCAAAAAUCAGGAACAUGAAAAAGAAACAUUAAAACAUGGUAUUUACAUGUAGUUAAUAGAAAACAUUCUUUAAAUUAUUAAGGUAUUGUAAUUAGCAGUCUAAGAGUUUAAAGUAGCUAUUAAAAUAUAUUCAAUGAUUUAAAGGAAAAUAUAAAUGAAUAAAUAAAACAGAUGGGGAGUAUCAACAGAUUAGAACUAUAAAAGAACCAAAUCAGAGCACUGAAGUCACGAAGUACAAUAACUGAAAUGAAUAUUUUACUCCAUGAGAUUGGUAAGAGAUAGGAGGCAGUUAGUAAACUUGAAUGGUGAUCAGUUAAAAUACUGAACUGAAUACUAGAGAGAAAUAUUAAGCACACUAGCAUAUGUAUAAUUGGAGUCCCAUAAGAGAGGGCAGAGAGAAUAGGACAGAAAAUUACUUGAAUAUAUAUUAAAGCAAAAAUAUCACAAAUUUGGAGAAAAAGCAUCAAACUACAGAUCUAAGAACUUCAACAGACCACAUAAUUGUGAAAAUGUAGAUUUCAAAAGAUAAAGAGUAACACCUAAAAGUGUUCAGAUUUAAAUGACAUGUUACAAACAUGGGCACAGGAAAUAGAAUAAAAACUGACUUCUUAUUAAGAAAAAUAUGGAGGUUAGACGACAGUAGAACAGUGUCUCUAAUGUGCUGAAAUAAAAACGAUACUCUCAAUAACCUGGAAUGCUAUAUUUAAGAAAAUGUAUCUUUAAAA